rnacentral:rRNA from 1 species
GACGAACGCUGGCGGCGUGCCUAAUACAUGCAAGUCGAACGCAGUGGGGACGGGUGAGUAACACGUGGGUAACCUCCCAUCAGAGGGGAUAACACUUGGAAACAGGUGCUAAACCGAUACUGAUGGAUGGACCCGCGGUGCAUUAGCUAGUUGGUGAGGUAACGGCUCACCAAGGCCACGAUGCAUAGCCGCCCUGAGAGGGUGACCGGCACCACUGGGACUGAGACGCGGCCCAGACUCCUACGGGAGGCAGCAGUGGGGAAUCUUCGGCAAGGGACGAAAGUCUGACCGAGCCAUGCCGCGUGAGUAAAGAAGGUUUUCGGAUCGUAAACCUCUGUUGUUAGAGAAGCGGUAUCUAACCAGAAAGCACCGGCUAACUCCGUGCCAGCGGCCGCGGUAAUAC